AUAUUUUCAAAAAUGUUCCAGCCAGAAGAAGCCAAUUAUAUCAAAUACUUGUAUUUUAAGAUAUAUAUAUAUAUAUAUGCAAACAAUUUAUUUUUACUUAUUGGAAUGAAAUAUUACAAUAAGCACAAGAAAGCGCUUAGAUGGGUGCCUGGGGUAAAAAGCAGGCUUCUCCCAAAAUUGGAUUCUCGGUCACCCUAGCGGCGAUCCAACGAGAUCGCCGCCAUUGUGGCUGAGAAUCCAAUUUUGGGGCGAACUGAUGGGAUCGGCGCUAGAUGGGUAGCUGGCCAGGGUGAUCUAAAACCUAAUUUUGGGGCAAUCCCUGGCAGCGAUCCGAUGGGAUCGGCGCCUAGAUGGGUGGCUGGGGUAAAAGCAGGCUUCUCCCAAACUUGGGUUCUCUGUCACGCUGGCGUUGAUCUAACUGGUCCCGCGUCUUGGAGGGUGGCUGGGGUAAAAGCAGGUUUCUCCCAAACUUGGGUUCUCAGUCAAUUUGACGGCGAUCCGACGGGAUCGACGCAAACUUGGGUUCUCGGUCAACUUGGCGGCGAUCCGACGGGAUCGGCGCCUAGAUGGGUGGCUGGGGUAAAAGCAGGCUUCUCCCAAACUUGGGUCCUCGGUCACCCUGGCGUCGAUCUGAUUGGAUCCGCGCUUUGAAGGGUGACUGGGAUAAAAGCGGGCUUCUUCCAAACUUGGGUUCUCGGUCACCCUGGCGGCGAUCUGACGGGAUUGGCGCGUGGAUAGAUGGCCGGGGUAAAAGCAGGCUUCUCCAUCAGGAGCAACAGCACAUGGAGACAAUUUGACAGGUGAAUCUGUUAUUUGCU
rnacentral:lncRNA from 1 species